GUGGUUUAAUUCGAAGCAACGCGAAGAACCUUACCAGGCCUUGACAUGCAGAGAACUUUCCAGAGAUGGAUUGGUGCCUUCGGGAACUCUGACACAGGUGCUGCAUGGCUGUCGUCAGCUCGUGUCGUGAGAUGUUGGGUUAAGUCCCGUAACGAGCGCAACCCUUGUCCUUAGUUACCAGCACGUUAUGGUGGGCACUCUAAGGAGACUGCCGGUGACAAACCGGAGGAAGGUGGGGAUGACGUCAAGUCAUCAUGGCCCUACGGCCUGGGCUACACACGUGCUACAAUGGUCGGUACAAAGGGUUGCCAAGCCGCGAGGUGGAGCUAAUCCCAUAAAACCGAUCGUAGUCCGGAUCGCAGUCUGCAACUCGACUGCGUGAAGUCGGAAUCGCUAGUAAUCGUGAAUCAGAAUGUCACGGUGAAUACGUUCCCGGGCCUU
rnacentral:rRNA from 1 species